UACGUAGGUGGCAAGCGUUGUCCGGAAUUAUUGGGCGUAAAGCGCGCGCAGGUGGUUUCUUAAGUCUGAUGUGAAAGCCCACGGCUCAACCGUGGAGGGUCAUUGGAAACUGGGGAACUUGAGUGCAGGAGAGAAGAGUGGAAUUCCACGUGUAGCGGUGAAAUGCGUAGAGAUGUGGAGGAACACCCGUGGCGAAGGCGGCUCUCUGGGACGGUACUGACGCUGAGACGCGAAAGCGUGGGGAGCGAACAGG
rnacentral:rRNA from 1 species